rnacentral:rRNA from 1 species
ACGGGAAUUACUUUAUUGAAACUUCGGUCGAUUUAAUUUAAUUCUAGUGGCGGACGGGUGAGUAACGCGUGGGUAACCUGCCUUAUACAGGGGGAUAACAGUCAGAAAUGGCUGCUAAUACCGCAUAAGCGCACAGAGCUGCAUGGCUCAGUGUGAAAAACUCCGGUGGUAUAAGAUGGACCCGCGUUGGAUUAGCUAGUUGGUGGGGUAACGGCCCACCAAGGCGACGAUCCAUAGCCGGCCUGAGAGGGUGAACGGCCACAUUGGGACUGAGACACGGCCCAGACUCCUACGGGAGGCAGCAGUGGGGAAUAUUGCACAAUGGGGGAAACCCUGAUGCAGCGACGCCGCGUGAAGGAAGAAGUAUCUCGGUAUGUAAACUUCUAUCAGCAGGGAAGAUAGUGACGGUACCUGACUAAGAAGCCCCGGCUAACUACGUGCCAGCAGCCGCGGUAAUACGUAGGGGGCAAGCGUUAUCCGGAUUUACUGGGUGUAAAGGGAGCGUAGACGGUGUGGCAAGUCUGAUGUGAAAGGCAUGGGCUCAACCUGUGGACUGCAUUGGAAACUGUCAUACUUGAGUGCCGGAGGGGUAAGCGGAAUUCCUAGUGUAGCGGUGAAAUGCGUAGAUAUUAGGAGGAACACCAGUGGC